UACAGAGGGGGCAAGCGUUAUUCGGAAUUAUUGGGCGUAAAGAGCUCGUAGGCGGUUGAGUAAGUCGGGUGUGAAAACUCUGGGCUUAACCCAGAGCCGCCACUCGAUACUGCUCUGACUUGAGUUCGGUAGGGGAGCAGGGAAUUCCUAGUGUAGCGGUGAAAUGCGCAGAUAUUAGGAGGAACACCGGUGGCGAAGGCGCUGCUCUGGGCCGAAACUGACGCUGAGGAGCGAAAGCGUGGGUAGCAAACAGG
rnacentral:rRNA from 1 species